CGUAGGCGGCCUGCUAAGUCGAACGUGAAAUCCCCGGGCUCAACCCGGGAACUGCGUCCGAUACUGGUGGGCUUGAAUCCGGGAGAGGGAUGUGGAAUUCCAGGUGUAGCGGUGAAAUGCGUAGAUAUCUGGAGGGAACACCGGUGGCGAAGGCGGCAUCCUGGACCGGCAUUGACGCUGAGGCGCGAAAGCCAGGGGAGCAACG
rnacentral:rRNA from 1 species